GAUGAAGAACGCAGCGAAAUGCGAUAAGUAAUGUGAAUUGCAGAAUUCAGUGAAUCAUCGAAUCUUUGAACGCAUCUUGCGCUCCUUGGUAUUCCUCGGAGCAUGCCUGUUUGAGUAUCAUGAGCAAAUCUCAAAGUCAAUUCCUUUUGUUGAUUCAAUUGGUUUUGCUUUGGACUUGGAGGCCUUGCAGAUUUCACAGUCUGCUCCUCUUAAAUGCAUUAGCUGGAUCUCAGUAAUUAUGCUUGGUUCCACUCGGCGUGAUAAGUAUCACUCGCUGAGGACACUGUUAAAAAGGUGGCCAGGAAAAUACUGAUUGAACCGCUUCUAACGGUCUAUUAAGUUAGACAAUUACCCUUAAGUUUGAUCUCAAAUCAGGUAGGACUACCCGCUGAACUUAAGCAUAUCAAUAAGCGGAGGA
rnacentral:misc_RNA from 1 species